GCACUGAAAGACUUUCAGAAUUAUUUUGGCAUGCCUGCAAUGGAAACCUCCUUCGAAAGGUGGAGUUCUUUGUGCCGAGAUUAAUUAUUGCGAGAAGGAAAAUGCCUUCCAGUCAGCCCAAAACAGCCAGGACAGAUUAGACAGCUAUCAGAGCUUGGUUUGUCCAGUGACAGAUGCAAUGCUGCCCUUUCAACCCUUCGACUUAGUUGUACACAACCCCUCAUCCUCUUAUAAUGCCCUUUGCAUCUCCACAUAAAGUUAAAUGUAUGUUAUUACAAAAAUAUUGCUUCUAAGCAUAGUUGCUAUUCAGUCUACCACAGAGAGAGCGUUAAAAUGAGGACAAAAAAUAAGGAAUAGACAAUUAUGUAUUGUGUCUUCUUUCUUAUUAUUUUUUCCUCAGAGCAAUCAACUGUUAUUUUUGUCAUAUCUUACCAUUGCAAGAGAUGAGUAUCCAAAACAUUCCAGGAAAAUACUACAUUUCAAUACACAAGAUGUGUAGGGAACACAUUUUGGCAGUACUAGUGGUUUCAUAGGACCACACUCUUUGAGAAAGUCAUUUUUACUGUGAAUUAUGAAUCACAUUGUUUAAAGAAGAAGAAGAAAAAAAAGCUACUUGUAUGCAAUCACAUAACUUCAUAUGGCAACUCAUUCAAUCACCAGCAUGACAGUACAGCAUAUACUAUACCAUUAUCUGCCUAAAUUACUAAUUUGCACAGUAUUUUGUACUGAAACCUCGCAGAAGUAUGGUUGCAAUCAACAAAAAAAUCAAGCCCCACAAAUCCCCUUAUUCCAAUAUGAAUAUACCUCAGACUGCCCUCUUUGCCUUUCAUAUCAACCGACUUAUCUCUCUUGCUGUUUGUCACAGAUAGCGACUAGACGGUGACAAUGGGCAAAUGUGCAAAAAUUCAGAGUGUCACUUGUGCACACCAGCCAAAACUGGCUUUGCUAUGUGGUCUCUUAGGUUCUGCACAAAUUAAUAUCACUCGUAGUGUAGGAAAUAACUACCAUAUAGAUCCAGUGCUUAACAGUUGAAGAUAAUGCCACAAAGUUGCUUACACUGCUUUAAAACUGCACUUAAAUUUGUGUUAUCAGCUGCAAGCUCUUUAAGGUGACAAAAUUUAGUGAGUGCUUUUAAAAUAUACCUUUUUUUUUUCAAGUGGUCACAUGCAAGGACUUAUGAGCAGUUAAUAAAGAUAAGUACAGCAUUAGCACUUGCUUUGCUUGUACGCGAGGCUUUUAAUUUGUUUCUUGCGUGCUGCCUAUUUUACACAGUUAAUAAAUAAUGACCAAUAACAAAUGAGAUCGUAUUUCCAUUCUCAUACAGCAUUGGCAACAAAGCUUUUGUCGAUGAAUGUGAGUAAAAAAAAAAAAGAAAAAGCUGUGCACGUCAGGACACCACUUGUUCACUGGCUCAACGUGUCCACUUGCAAUGAGCCGUGUAUUUUCAUCAUUCACCUGUUGAACAUUAUAAUUAGGAAUAGUAAGACAACUACACUUGUGUCUUGCCUGCUCUUCCUUGUGUGUAAUCACAAGUGAUUAAUAGAGAAAAAGAAAAUUAAUCAGCAAAAUGGGUAAUAAAAAGCAAUAUCAUAUAUUAUAUAAUGUAUAACCAUCAAUUUCAAUUUAUUGUGUACCAUACUCAAUGCAGUGAACAUUACUGAAGCUUGGUGGUGGAUGAUGAGAAACA
rnacentral:lncRNA from 1 species